GACGAACGCUGGCGGCGUGCUUAACACAUGCAAGUCGAACGAUAAGGCCCUUCGGGGUACACGAGUGGCGAACGGGUGAGUAACACGUGGGUGAUCUGCCCUGCACUUCGGGAUAAGCCUGGGAAACUGGGUCUAAUACCGGAUAGGACCACUGCCUGCAUGGGUGGUGGUGGAAAGCUUUUGCGGUGUGGGAUGGGCCCGCGGCCUAUCAGCUUGUUGGUGGGGUGAUGGCCUACCAAGGCGACGACGGGUAGCCGGCCUGGGAGGGUGACCGGCCACACUGGGACUGAGAUACGGCCCAGACUCCUACGGGAGGCAGCAGUGGGGAAUAUUGCACAAUGGGCGCAAGCCUGAUGCAGCGACGCCGCGUGAGGGAUGACGGCCUUCGGGUUGCAAACCUCUUUCAGCACCGACGAAGCGCAAGUGACGGUAGGUGCAGAAGAAGGACCGGCCAACUACGUGCCAGCAGCCGCCGUAA
rnacentral:rRNA from 1 species